rnacentral:rRNA from 1 species
UACGGGGGGGGUAAGCGUUGUUCGGAAUUACUGGGCGUAAAGGGCUCGUAGGCGGCCAACUAAGUCAGACGUGGAAUCCCUCAGCUUAACUGGGGAACUGCGUCUGAUACUGGAUGGCUUGGAUUCGGGAGAGGAAUGCGGAAUUCCAGGUGUAGCGGUGAAAUGCGCAGAUAUCAGGAGGAACACCGGUGGCGAAGGCGGGUCUCUGGGCCGAAACUGACGCUGAGGAGCGAAAGCGUGGGGAGCAAACAGG